rnacentral:rRNA from 1 species
UACAGAGGGGGCAAGCGUUGUUCGGAAUUACUGGGCGUAAAGGGCUUGUAGGUGGCCAACUAAGUCAGACGUGAAAUCCCUCGGCUUAACCGGGGAACUGCGUCUGAUACUGGAUGGCUUGAGUGUGGGAGAGGGAUGCGGAAUUCCCGGUGUAGUGGUGGAAUGCGUAGAUAUCGGGAGGAACACCAGUGGCGAAGGCGGUUGCCUGGGGCUUUGCUGACGCUGAUGCGCGAAAGCGUGGGGAGCGAUCCGG